rnacentral:lncRNA from 1 species
AGCAAAUACAUCUUUAUCCUUCAGCUGAUAAGAAUCUGAUUAGUAGAUUUCUGGUUCAAGAAACAAUAUGAAAUCAGACAGCAAAAUAACAUUUAAGGUUUUAGGUAGCAAGUCUGUAAACUUUAUUUGCCUUGAAAAAAUCAUUAUGAUGGUUGAGGAAUGUACACACAAAAUGAAUAGCUGGGAUUUCCAAAACAAAGCAUUAUUCGUGUAAGAAUAAAAGUAGUAGUAAAGAAGAUUAAAAUGUUAACUGUAUAGAAAUGAACUGGAAGAGCUGCCAUAGUUGGAAGCAUUUUCUAAUGAUCAUGGAAGGUCGUUAUAAAUUAGAGGCACUAUGAAGGUCUAUUAAAUGCCAUUUCCCUUUUACUUUAAGUGCAAUGGCCAAAUCUCUCCAGGUAUCACUGGUGGGACCUUAAUUUCAGUGGAAUUGCCUGAAUUUCUCCUAGAGCUGUUCAAAGUGCCAAACAAGCCACUUCUGUCAGGUGUUAUUUCUAUGCUCCAUACGCUGCCUCCUACAUUUCAUAUCCUAUGGCACAACCGAUCGUAAUUUGGCCGAAUACAGCAUUUAGUAAACAAGGAAAGGAUUUGACACUCUACGGGCUUGCUCUUUCAGCUCUGAGCUAGUGGCCCCCACGGAGCUUUUCCACCAAGCACCCGUGGGCAGCAGCAGCGCUGCGAGCCCCCCAGCCCCUGCUAACCCCUCAGAGGCAGGUGCUCACGGAGCACAACUCGGGCAAGCUCCAUUAUUUGAGGGCUUGGUGCCGUCAGUGCCCGGGCACCGAGGCGGGGCGGGACAGGUGCUGCAGGAACCACCUGUGUGAAGCCGCAGGGCGGCGGGCACGGCCCUGCCCGGCCCUCGCGGGCUCUCCCUCGGGGCUUUCCCCGCUGCCAGGCCCGCCCUGCUCGGGCCGCGGGCGCCGCCUCCCACCCCGCGGAGCCCGGGCAGGGCAGGGAGCCACGCUCCGGCUCCCCUGCCCGGCGGGCACCGCACCGGGACAGGUCCCCCCCGGGGCCGCUCCACAGCCCCACGCCGUGGCCCGCCCCGUGCCGCGCCGCCGCGGGUGGCGGGGGAGGCGCCGCCACCGCCGAGGCGGGGCCCCGCUCCCGAUCCCGCUCCCGAUCCUGAUCCCGAUCCCGCUCCGCUCCGCCGCCCCCUGGCCCCGCUCCGCCCCGCUCCGGCUCCCGCGGCCCCGCCGCGGCUCCCAGCAUGAACGUGAGGAGGGUGGAGAGCAUCUCGGCGCAGCUGGAGGAGGCCAGCUCCACAGGCGCAGCACCACCACAGAACAUUCAUUCAAAGUGCUGUGAUAUCAGCAAGUAGUGAUAUGUAUAGUAUAUAGACAAAGAAGGUCAUUCACAUGGGGAAAAAUCAUUCUGCAAACUAAAAAAUGAAACAAGAAACAUUCUGCUAGUACCUUUUGGCCUACAUCAGCUCUCAAGACAUGGCAGGAAGUCCUGCCAUCUCCAUGUCAUUUGGGCCAGGUUCCCUGUCUGGCUGAUGUCAGUAAUUCUCCCUGGCUCCAGUGUCAUCUCCUAUGGAAAACCAUCUGUUGUUCUCUUACCAACAGCUGUAGGAUGAUAAAUGGAGAUUUUUAUGGAAAACUUUUGCAUGCUACUUCUGAGCAAAGGAGAAUCUUUUCAACUCCGAAAGCGUGAUAAGAAUCAGCCCCUCUGAAAUAUUCCCAUCAUGAAUAUCAACCUUUUCCCUAUUUGAAACUGAGUCAGAGGCAAUAAACUAUAAAUCCCAUAACUCGUGCA